rnacentral:rRNA from 1 species
AGAGUUUGAUCAUGGCUCAGAUUGAACGCUGGCGGCAUGCUUUACACAUGCAAGUCGAACGGCAGCACAGCAGAGGUAACUCUGUGGGUGGCGAGUGGCGAACGGGUGAGUAAUACAUCGGAACGUACCCUGUUGUGGGGGAUAACUACGCGAAAGCGUAGCUAAUACCGCAUACGCCCUGAGGGGGAAAGCGGGGGACCCUAAAUAGAGCGCACUGGGGAGUGCGUUGUAUUUAGGGCCUCGCGCAAUAGGAGCGGCCGAUGUCGGAUUAGCUAGUUGGUGAGGUAAAGGCUUACCAAGGCGACGAUCCGUAGCUGGUCUGAGAGGAUGAUCAGCCACACUGGGACUGAGACACGGCCCAGACUCCUACCGGGAGGCAGCAGUGGGGAAUUUUGGACAAUGGGGGCAACCCUGAUCCAGCCAUGCCGCGUGAGUGAAGAAGGCCUUCGGGUUGUAAAGCUCUUUCGGACGGAAAGAAAUCGCGCAGGUAAAUAAUCUGCGUGGAUGACGGUACCGUAAGAAGAAGCACCGGCUAACUACGUGCCAGCAGCCGCGGUAAUACGUAGGGUGCGAGCGUUAAUCGGAAUUACUGGGCGUAAAGCGUGCGCAGGCGGCUUUGUAAGACAGGUGUGAAAUCCCCGGGCUUAACCUGGGAAUGGCGCUUGUGACUGCAAGGCUCGAGUGCGGCAGAGGGGGGUGGAAUUCCACGUGUAGCAGUGAAAUGCGUAGAGAUGUGGAGGAACACCGAUGGCGAAGGCAGCCCCCUGGGUCGACACUGACGCUCAUGCACGAAAGCGUGGGGAGCAAACAGGAUUAGAUACCCUGGUAGUCCACGCCCUAAACGAUGCCAACUAGUUGUUGGGGAAGGAGACUUCCUUAGUAACGAAGCUAACGCGUGAAGUUGGCCGCCUGGGGAGUACGGUCGCAAGAUUAAAACUCAAAGGAAUUGACGG